rnacentral:rRNA from 1 species
CAAGUCGAACGGAAUUAGGGGCUUGCUCCUAAUUUAKUGGCGCACGGGUGAGUAACGCGUGGAUAACCUACCCUGGWAUCUGGGAUAACAUCUCGAAAGGGGUGCUAAUACCGGAUAAGCCCMCGGGAACUUUGGUUCUUGCGGGAAAAGGKGGCCUCUAUUUAUAAGCUACUGUAUCAGGAUGGGUCCGCGUACCAUUAGCUAGUUGGUAGKGUAAUGGACUACCAAGGCUACGAUGGUUAGCUGGUCUGAGAGGAUGAUCAGCCACACUGGAACUGAGACACGGUCCAGACUCCUACGGGAGGCAGCAGUGGGGAAUUUUGCGCAAUGGGGGAAACCCUGACGCAGCAACGCCGCGUGAGUGAUGAAGGCCUUCGGGUCGUAAAGCUCUGUCAGAGGGRAAGAAGUGUAUGGGUGCUAAUACCMUCUAUACUUGACGGUACCCUCAAAGGAAGCACCGGCUAACUCCGUGCCAGCAGCCGCGGUAAUAC